rnacentral:tRNA from 1 species
GGUUUAAUAUUCAAAAUGAUGAUUUUAAAUUGCAAAUUUAAAGGUGGGACAUUCCUUAAACCU